UGCCUAUACAUGCAGUCGAACGAACUUCCGUUAAUUGAUUAUGACGUACUUGUACUGAUUGAGAUUUUAACACGAAGUGAGUGGCGAACGGGUGAGUAACACGUGGGUAACCUGCCCAGAAGUAGGGGAUAACACCUGGAAACAGAUGCUAAUACCGUAUAACAGAGAAAACCGCAUGGUUUUCUUUUGAAAGAUGGCUCUGCUAUCACUUCUGGAUGGACCCGCGGCGUAUUAGCUAGUUGGUGAGGUAAAGGCUCACCAAGGCAGUGAUACGUAGCCGACCUGAGAGGGUAAUCGGCCACAUUGGGACUGAGACACGGCCCAGACUCCUACGGGAGGCAGCAGUAGGGAAUCUUCCACAAUGGACGCAAGUCUGAUGGAGCAACGCCGCGUGAGUGAAGAAGGGUUUCGGCUCGUAAAGCUCUGUUGUUAAAGAAGAACGUGGGUAAGAGUAACUGUUUACCCAGUGACGGUAUUUAACCAGAAAGCCACGGCUAACUACGUGCCAGCAGCCGCGGUAAUACGUAGGUGGCAAGCGUUAUCCGGAUUUAUUGGGCGUAAAGCGAGCGCAGGCGGUCUUUUAAGUCUAAUGUGAAAGCCUUCGGCUCAACCGAAGAAGUGCAUUGGAAACUGGGAGACUUGAGUGCAGAAGAGGACAGUGGAACUCCAUGUGUAGCGGUGAAAUGCGUAGAUAUAUGGAAGAACACCAGUGGCGAAGGCGGCUGUCUGGUCUGCAACUGACGCUGAGGCUCGAAAGCAUGGGUAGCGAACAGGAUUAGAUACCCUGGUAGUCCAUGCCGUAAACGAUGAUUACUAAGUGUUGGAAGGGUUUCCGCCCUUCAGUGCUGCAGCUAACGCAUUAAGUAAUCCGCCUGGGGGAGUACGACCGCAAGGUUGAAACUCAAAAGAAUUGACGGGGGCCCGCACAAGCGGUGGAGCAUGGUGGUUUAAUUCGAAGCUACGCGAAGAACCUUACCAGGUCUUGACAUCUUCUGACAGUCUAAGAAGAUUAGAGGUUCCCUUCGGGGACAGAAUGACAGGUGGGUGCAUGGUUGUCGUCAGCUCGUGUCGUGAAGAAGGUUGGGGUUAAGUCCCGCAACGAGCGCAACCCUUAUUACUAGUUGCCAGCAUUAAGUUGGGCACCCUAAUUGGAACUGCCGGUGACAAACCCGGGGGAAAGGGGGGGGGCGAACCUCAAAAUCAUCAAUGGCCCCUUAUGGAC
rnacentral:rRNA from 1 species